rnacentral:lncRNA from 1 species
CUCCCUGCGCCCGCUGUGGGGUUUUUGGGGGCCCGGGUGCGUCCCCCCUCCUUUGGGUUUGUGACCCCGUGCGUCGCGUCCCUCCACCCCAUUGAUUGCGGCCCCACUGAUUGGUUGUGACCCCAUUGAUUGGUUGUGGCCCCACUGAUUGGUUGUGACCCCAUUGAGUGAUUCCCCAUUGAGUGAUUGCGGCCCCAUUGAUUGAUUGUUGUCCCCAUUGAUCGAUUCCCCACUGAUCGAUUGUUGUCCCCACUGAGUGAUUCCCCAUUCAUUGUUGUGCCCCAUUGAGUGAUUGCGGCCCCAUUGAUCGGUUCCCCAUUGAUUGGUUGUGCCCCAUUGAUUGAUUGUUGUCCCCAUUGAUUGAUUCCCCAUUGAUUGGUUGUGGCCCCAUUGAUUGAUUCCCCAUUGAGUGAUUGCGGCCCCAUUGAUCGAUUCCCCAUUGAUCGAUUCCCCAUUGAUUGAUUGUUGUCCCCAUUGAGUGAUUCCCCAUUGAUUGGUUGUGGCCCCAUUGAUCAAUUCCCCAUUGAUUGAUUCCCCAUUAAUUGGUUGUGGCCCCAUUGAUUGGUUGUGGCCCCAUUGAGUGAUUCCCCAUUGAUUGAUUCCCCAUUGAUUGUUGUGCCCCAUUGAUUGUUGUGCCCCACGGAUUGAUUGUUGUCCCCAUUGAUCGAUUCCCCAUUGAGUGAUUGCGGCCCCAUUGAUCGAUUCCCAAUUGAUUGAUUGUUGUCCCCAUUGAUUGUUGUCCCCAUUGAUUGUUGUCCCCCAUUGAUUGAUUCCCCAAUGAGUGAUUAUGGCCCCAUUGAUUGUUGGCCCCAUUGAUUGAUUCCCCAUUAAUUGUGUCCCCAUCUGUUGUGUCGUCCCCAUUGAUUGAUUCCCCAUUAAUUGUGCCCCCAUUAGUUGUGCCCCCAUUGAUUAAUAGAUUCCCCAUUGAUUGUGCCCCCAUUAGUUAUUCCCCAUUGAUUGUGCCCCCAUUAAUUGUGCCCCCAUUAAUUGUGCCCCCAUUAGUUGUGCCCCAUUGAUUGAUAGAUUCCCCACUGGUAGAUUUCCCAUUAAUUGUGCCCCCAUUAAUUGUGCCCCCAUCUGUCGUGCUGCCCCCACCCCCACACGUCCCUCCCGGCCCCACUGCUGACCCCUUCUCCCCCAUUCCUACCCCACAGGUCUUCAUCCCGACCCGUCGGCUCCUCAUCCUCACCCACCCCAUUUCCAUCCCCCCCAUUGGGUUCCGCCCCCCAUCCUUUGGGUUCCGUCCCCCCCAUUGGGUUCUUCCCCCCCCAUUGGGUUCUGCC